rnacentral:rRNA from 1 species
CUAUAAGCGGAGGAAAAGAAACCAACAGGGAUUGCCUUAGUAACGGCGAGUGAAGCGGCAAAAGCUCAAAUUUGAAAUCGGCCCCCAGGUCGAGUUGUAAUUUGUAGAUUGUAUCUUGAGAGCGGAUUAAAGUCUGUUGGAACACAGCGCCUUAGAGGGUGACAGCCCCGUAAAAUCUAUUCUCAUUGUAAGAUACUUUCGAAGAGUCGAGUUGUUUGGGAAUGCAGCUCUAAGUGGGAGGUAAAUUCCUUCUAAAGCUAAAUAUUGACGAGAGACCGAUAGCGAACAAGUACUGUGAAGGAAAGAUGAAAAGCACUUUGAAAAGAGAGUGAAAAAGUACGUGAAAUUGUUAAAAGGGAAGGGUAUUGAAUCAGACUUGGUGCUGUUGUUCAACCAUGUUUCGGCACGUGUACUCAGCAGUACUAGGCCAAGGUGGGGUGUUUGGGAGUGAAAAAGAAGUAGGAACGUAACUCUUCGGAGUGUUAUAGCCUACUUUCAUAGCUCCUCAGGCGCCUCAGGACUGCGCUUCGGCAAGGACCUUGGCAUAAUGAUUCUAUACCGCCCGUCUUGAAACAGGG